GCGUAGUUGGUUUAGUGGUAUAAUUCUCGUCUGCCACGCGGGAGACCUGGGUUCGAUUCCCAGACUACGCA